rnacentral:rRNA from 1 species
CCUACGGGUGGCAGCAGUCGAGAAUCAUUCACAAUGGGGGAAACCCUGAUGGUGCGACGCCGCGUGGGGGAAUGAAGGUCUUCGGAUUGUAAACCCCUGUCAUGUGGGAGCAAAUUAAAAAGAUAGUACCACAAGAGGAAGAGACGGCUAACUCUGUGCCAGCAGCCGCGGUAAUACAGGGGUCUGAAGGUGUGUUCGGAAUCACUGGGCGUAAAGCGUGCGUAAGCUGUUUCGUAAGUCGUGUGUGAAAGGUGCGGGCUCAACCCGCGGAGAGCACAUGAUACUGGGAGACUAGAGUAAUGGAGAGGGAACCGGAAUUCUCGGUGUAGCAGUGAAAUGCGUAGAUAUCGAGAAGAACACUCGUGGCGAAGGCAGGUUCCUGGACAUUAACUGACGCUGAGGCACGAAGGCCAGGGGAGCGAAAGGGAUUAGAUACCCGGGUAGUC